CGAACGCUGGCGGCAGGCUUAACACACGCAAGUCGAGCGCUGUAGCAAUACAGAGCGGCGCACGGGUGAGUAACACGUGGGAACGUGCCCUUUGGUUCGGAAUAACCCAGGGNAAACUUGGGCUAAUACCGGAUAAGCCCUUACGGGGAAAGAUUUAUCGCCAUUGGAGCGGCCCGCGUCCGAUUAGCUAGUUGGUGGGGUAAUGGCCUACCAAGGCAACGAUCGGUAGCUGGUCUGAGAGGACGACCAGCCACACUGGGACUGAGACACGGCCCAGACUCCUACGGGAGGCAGCAGUGGGGAAUCUUGGACAAUGGGGGAAACCCUGAUCCAGCCAUGCCGCGUGAGUGAUGAAGGCCCUAGGGUUGUAAAACUCUUUCGGCGGGGACGAUAAUGACGGUACCCGCAGAAGAAGCUCCGGCUAACUUCGUGCCAGCAGCCGCGGUAAUACGAAGGGGGCUAGCGUUGUUCGGAAUUAUUGGGCGUAAAGGGUGCGUAGGCGGUUCCGCAAGUCCUGUGUG
rnacentral:rRNA from 1 species